CCUGAGAAACCCAAAAGAUCGAUCGGGGAGAUUCAUCGUCAGCGAUUCUGGUACGUGGGUGGUUCGCGAUGUUGCGGGACUACGGUCCAGCGACACGCGUCCGCUCAUGUUUGAUUUGCCAGGUGUCGUCGGCGUGCACUUCUCCCCUAGUAGAACGUCGCGACCCGUUGGGUGUCGGUCUACGGCCCGGAUGGUAGACUGUCGUGCGUCGCGCCUUGUGCCGAUAUGCGGCAGACCACCGGUUGCCUGACCGGCUGCCCGGCGGUACUCGCACGGUAUCGAGCCGCAAUUAUUUGAACUGCGUCCGGCCCGCUUGCAAGCGAGGUCAGUGUUACCCGGAAGUGCGGACCUAGCGCCGCCACCGGGCCUGGCCGGCUGUUGGUAGGCGGUGUCCUGGGACUGGCUCAAUCGAUUAUGAUACCGGUCGGCGACGCUACUGCUUUGGGUACUUUCAGGACCCGUCUUGAAACACGGACCAAGGAGUCUAACAUGUGCGCGAGUCAUUGGGAGCUAUGAAGCCUAAAGGCGCAAUGAAAGUGAAGGUCGGCCUUGCGCCAACCGAGGGAGGAUGGGCCGCGUCACGAUGCGGCCCCGCACUCCCGGGGCGUCUCGUUCUCAUUGCGAGAAGAGGCGCACCCAGAGCGUACACGUUGGGACCCGAAAGAUG
rnacentral:rRNA from 1 species